GGCCAGACUCCUACGGGAGGCAGCAGUGAGGAAUAUUGGGCAAUGGGGGCAACCCUGACCCAGCCAUGCCGCGUGAGUGAAGAAGGUCUUCGGAUUGUAAAGCUCUUUCGGACGUGACGAUGAUGACGGUAGCGUCUAAAGAAGCACCGGCAAACUUCGUGCCAGCAGCCGCGGUAAUACGAAGGGUGCGAGCGUUGUUCGGAAUUACUGGGCGUAAAGGGAGUGCAGGCGGCUGAGUAAGACAGAUGUGAAAUCCCCGGGCUUAACCUGGGAACCGCAUAUGUGACUGCUUGGCUAGAGUGCGUCAGAGGGAGGUGGAAUUCCACGUGUAGCAGUGAAAUGCGUAGAUAUGUGGAAGAACCCCGAUGGCGAAGGCAGCCUCCUGGGACGCAACUGACGCUCAUACACGAAAGCGUGGGGAGCAAACAGGAUUAGAUACCCCUGUA
rnacentral:rRNA from 1 species